AUGAAUUGAGCGCCAGAGAGAAAUUACUUUACUCUUUUUUCGGAAAAAGAGAAAACUCUCCGUUAUUUUCCUCAAAUUCCCGCUCAUCUCUCUGAAGGGCGAAGGCAGGUUAUGGCACCUAGUAAGGAAUGGAUGCAACUUGUUGAUAAUCGACUUGAUGAAGCCUACUCAAUCGGGGUGCAAAAGUUUUUGGAUUAUGCUUUUAGAAGAACAAGGGAACUGUAUGAAAUACGAUGUCCAUGUGUCAAAUGUUGUAACACAACUUUAGGAACACAUGAGACAGUUGAGUCACAUUUGAAAGUAUAUGGAAUAAUUCAAAAUUAUACUUUUUGGUAUCACCAUGGUGAAAUUUUAGGUGAGCCGCAGUCGGACUGUGAACUGAUAGCCCAUUGCCGCCAUCUACUCGAGAAAGAGCAUAUGCAAACUGAUAUUCAAUUGCCUCCAUCUACUAAUCAAGACAUUUCUAAAGUAUGCAAAUGUAGGUUCAUGUACUACUGAAAAGGUAAAAAAAGUUCGAGGAAAGAAUAAGUGCAAAGAAGUUGCAUUGCUUAAAUUUGGACAGAAGCUGAAAGUAACAUUUUACAACAAUCGAACGGUCGGAAAGAAUAACAAUCUAUUUUCGAGGCACUUGGGAAAAUUAGUUCGUGACCGUAAUUUGUGUCCGUUGGGAGUAUCAUCGUGGCAUGACAUUAAGGAAGAACAGUUAAAUCACAUGUGGGCAGCUAUUAAGGUAAUGCAUCCAAUUUGCCAAUGGGCUAUUUGCUAAAGUCCACUUGGAAAAUAUGUUUUCAUUUAUUACUUGGGAUUUAUACAUGUGGCCUUAACUUGCUCUACUAAAUCCUGUAGCUCCUAAUUAGAUCCUUAACCCCUGAAAAGGUUUCUCUUUUCUA